rnacentral:ncRNA from 2 species
GGAAAUUAUAAAUAGCGACCUCAUAUAAUCUCGGGGAUAUGGCCCGUAAGUCUCUACCUGACGACCGUUAAUCGUUGGACUAUGAGGGAAGAUAACGUGCAC